CAUCGGCAACCAAAGCAAGGUUUGGUUCGAAAAUGUAAAGAAUUAGCUCAUUUUUAGGGUUUUGGAGGUUUUGCGGGUUUUCCCUCGUUUCACCGCCUGCAGCUCUACUCUACGCAGAGAAGACAUCGAGGAAGAAAGAAUGGCAGCUAAUUUUGCAAGACGAUCUCUUAUAAGCUCCCCUACAUUUGCAACAAGAAUCCUAAACGGUUGUAAAUCAUCAUCAUCAUCUUUUGUUUCUGGAGCGAGUAAGGUCGGAGGAUUCACUCCUGCAAGUUCCACAUCUCGUGUUUCUCGACGUAAGCUUUCCUUGUUCUCCAGGCUGCCAAUGGAGUUAGGUUGUGCACAAUCUUUGAUGCCAUUGCACAGUGUUACUGCUUCAGCAUUGCUCACCUCAAUGCUUUCUUUAAACGGUGAAAACUGGGGAUGUCUCUCCGAAGGUUACAAGCAGUCCUUAAAGAGUUUGGUGCUUCUUCUCAAAUAGCGGUCAUUUAUCACCACUAGCACAAUCUCUCCCUGUCUUGAAUUGGUCAGAAGCAAUCCUCAUGAUGGAGUUUGUAAAGAUGCCUCACAAUGAGCUUUGAACAGAUUUUCUGUGACAGCCUAAUGAGCAACUCUAAUUGUGGUCAUGUCUUGACCAGGUCAAAGAAAUGCUUAGAGAGCUGGUGUUCCUUUCUUCUCGAAUUGCCCAAAAGGUUAACAUUAGGAUACCUCUCCAUAGAAGCUUGCUUUCAGUGGGGCAGUAACACCAAUGCAGAUUUGCAUCUACUCUAUAGCAGGGCCAGUGAAUUUGUCAACAUUGCUAUGUUGAAUAAUUUAUUUUGAGCUUCAAAGGAAAACCAGCCAUACAGUCGAUAACCUUGACUGUCGUAUCUUCUUCUGAUAUUUGAGUUUUGCCUUGAUGUAUUUCAUUAUGCCUUUUGUUCCAACCAGUUGAGACGGUUAAAUAAGAAAAUUCAUUACAUUGUGGUUGGUUGAGAUAUUGUUUUCUCACUAUUAUUACCAGAAAACAAAAUGUUUCUUUCUCCAUAUAAAAAGAUUUUCCUUGGAA